ensembl:lncRNA
AUGACGCCGAUGAAAAUUUUGGUUCCUUUGGAUAUUCCUGUCAGCUCUGUGAAAGUGUUCCUUAAAAUCACCCUCUAUAUGCAGGAAAGAUGCCACCUGUGUUCGCAAUGGGAUCUUCCACUAUUUAGCAAGUCUUUGCUGAAUGAGUCAUCAAAGCCGGCUGGUAUUGGCUGGCCUGGUGAGUACCCAAGGGAUUGCCUGGUAGAGGCUGCGAGGCCUUGCUUCAUUCACAGAAAUGUGAGGUUGCUAGCCAGCCCUUCCAUUCACACACUCUCAUUCACAUUUUGCAGUUUUGCUAGCGGCUUCUAAUGAAGAGAGCCAUUUGGGAGUGAUAGGGUUUUCUGGGCAAUUGAGACAAGUAAAAUUAGGCUAUGAUAUGCAUAUUUGCUGUUGCUAUGCUAGGAGGAUGAAGAGAGGAACAAAUACUGUGAGGAUGCUGUAGCAGGUUGGCAGUGUGAUGGUGAGAGGCUAUUCCACAGAUCACUAGAAACACUGACACUGUCAUUAUUCAUCACUGCGGGGAUAAGAGGUGCUGAUUUAAUUUAAUGGCAUAAAUAUAGUAAUUAAGUAACUGUAUUUAAGCUGUUUUGUUGUAUUCGAAUACUGUAGCCUUUAUUAAGGGAGAGAGAAGGAAUACCGCAGGACUUUUCCUUUAAAAUUUUCUGCAGUUAUUCGUCUGUUCAAAGAAGAAUGCUAUAUACUGCAUUUUUGUAUGUCUAAAAGAUGUUUUGAAAAGAAGGUCGGUUUAUAGAAAAGAGCUGUGUGGCUUGUGGUGAGCACUGUAUUUCACAAUGCUGUAUACACUCUGCAUUUUAAAAAGAACAAAAAAGAGAGAAAAAUGAAGUAACUGAUUUCUUCAUGUUUUUCUCCUCCCCCGGUCAAGUGCUUGUGGUUGAUAUUUAUGCUUAAUAAGAAUUGGUGUAUUCUUAUAUUCUUCACUGCAGGACAAUAGUGAAAUGAUGCAUGGACUUUUGACUAUUCCCCUUGCACUUCUCAGUUUUUCGGAAUUACAGCAAAUAUUCUAGGGAAUGGCAUAUCUAUUUCACAUUUUUUCUUCAGAGUGAAUAUCAGUGAUGAAAGAAAAAGCAUCUCUUAUGCCUGUUAUUGGACAUCAGAAAAAUACUCACUUCACACAUCGGUACUUUAUAUAAUCCUGCAUUAAAACAUAAGGUUGCUGUGAGGUAGGGGAGAAGGAUUGCUUUCUCUGUAAAAAAUUGGAAGUGAGAAUUUAUGUGAGAAAUAGCAUUGACACAAAAGCUUGUAAAAUCUGCUAGACUGCUUUUUGUGAAGGAAAAUAGUGUAUUUUCUUUAUUUCUGUCAUCUGUUUUUGAAAUGCUUAAAGGUAUUCUGAAAACCCUUUAAGGUAUCUGUGUUUUGCUUGUGGAAAGAGAAGGGAAUGUAUAUGUGUAUAUAUUAUCUAGAUAUUUGCUUUCUAAUUGUAUCUUCUUUAUAGAUUCACAAAUAUGUGAGGUGAAAGAACAGUUAAACAGAAGAAUAAAGUGUGGUGUUUUAUAAAGGCUGUUAAUUCUUUUUAAAGGUAAUUGCCUUUGGUAUGAAAAGGAGUGGAGGGGGGAGGGUGGAAUAAAGUGUUAGAAGGAAAUAUCUGUUUGAGAAGAGAGGAUAAGGAAAUUUGAGAAUUGAUUGGUGCUAGUGUGCUGUAAGUGGGUGGGUUUUUUAUUUUUUUUUAUUUUUAUUUUUAUUUUUUUUUGCUACAGGAAGUGAUUUGCAGUGCUCACUGAGCCUUUUGUUGAAAAGGGUCCUUCUCAUUUGUGUGAGUCAUGCUUCUGCUGUGAGCGAGUUGGCAGCUCUAAGCAGGACUGUGAUCUCUGUUAUAGAAAACUGUUACUUCACCUAACCUUAAAGUGGAACCACAAGAAAUAUCUUAAAAUUAUAUAUUUUUUGUUCUUCCUUAUAUUGUUUGCUUUUUUACCUCAAAAUCUUGUUCUCUGCCUGUGUUGCUAUGAAUCGCCUGCUAUGUUAGCACGGGCAUCUCCUGCAUUGGCAUCACAUUUGCCAGAACAUAUGC